ACCCAGAUAACUCAGUUGGUAGAGAAUGAGACUCUUAAUCUCAGGGUCGUGGGUUUGAGCCCCACAUUGGGCA